AGGCUGCAACCCGCCUGCAUGAAGUCGGAAUUGCUAGUAAUCGCGGAUCAGCAUGCCGCGGUGAAUACGUUCCCGGGCCUUGUACACACCGCCCGUCACACCAUGGGAGCCGGUAAUACCCGAAGUCAGUAGUCCAACCCCGUGAGGACGCUGCCGAAGGUAGGAUUGGCGACUGGGGUGAAGUCGUAACAAGGUAUC
rnacentral:rRNA from 1 species